rnacentral:rRNA from 1 species
AACGCGAAGAACCUUACCAAGUCUUGACAUCGGAAUGACCGGUCCGUAACGGGGCCUUCCCUUCGGGGCAUUCCAGACAGGUGGUGCAUGGUUGUCGUCAGCUCGUGUCGUGAGAUGUUGGGUUAAGUCCCGCAACGAGCGCAACCCUUAUCCUUAGUAGCCAGCAGUUCGGCUGGGCACUCUGGGGAGACUGCCAGGGAUAACCUGGAGGAAGGUGGGGAUGACGUCAAAUCAUCAUGCCCCUUAUGAUUUGGGCUACACACGUGCUACAAUGGCGUAAACAAAGGGAAGCAAAGCCGCGAGGUGGAGCAAAUCCCAAAAAUAACGUCUCAGUUCGGAUUGUAGUCUGCAACUCGACUACAUGAAGCUGGAAUCGCUAGUAAUCGCAGAUCAGAAUGCUGCGGUU